CAUGCAAGUCGAGCGGAAACGAUGGUAGCUUGCUACCAGGCGUCGAGCGGCGGACGGGUGAGUAACGCGUGAGAAUCUGCCCAUUUGUGGGGGAUAACUCGGGGAAACUCGAGCUAAUACCGCAUAAUCCCUACGGGGGAAAGCAGGGGACCUUCGGGCCUUGUGCAGAUGGAUGAGCUCGCGUCGGAUUAGCUUGUUGGUGAGGUAAAGGCUCACCAAGGCGACGAUCCGUAGCUGGUCUGAGAGGAUGAUCAGCCACACCGGGACUGAGACACGGCCCGGACUCCUACGGGAGGCAGCAGUGGGGAAUCUUGGACAAUGGGGGCAACCCUGAUCCAGCCAUGCCGCGUGUGUGAAGAAGGCCUUCGGGUUGUAAAGCACUUUCAGUAGGGAGGAAGGCUUACCGCUAAUAACGGUGAGUACUUGACGUUACCUACAGAAGAAGCACCGGCUAAUUUCGUGCCAGCAGCCGCGGUAAUACGAAAGGUGCGAGCGUUAAUCGGAAUUACUGGGCGUAAAGCGCGCGUAGGCGGUUUGUUAAGUCAGAUGUGAAAGCCCCGGGCUCAACCUGGGAAUUGCAUUUGAAACUGGCAGGCUAGAGUGCAGUAGAGGGAGGUGGAAUUUCCGGUGUAGCGGUGAAAUGCGUAGAGAUCGGAAGGAACACCAGUGGCGAAGGCGGCCUCCUGGACUGACACUGACGCUGAGGUGCGAAAGCGUGGGGAGCAAACAGGAUUAGAUACCCUGGUAGUCCACGCCGUAAACGAUGUCUACUAGUCGUUGGGAAUCUUAGUAUUCUUGGUGACGAAGUUAACGCGAUAAGUAGACCGCCUGGGGAGUACGGCCGCAAGGUUAAAACUCAAAUGAAUUGACGGGGGCCCGCACAAGCGGGUGGAGCAUGUGGUUUAAUUCGAUGCAACGCGAAGAACCUUACCAGGGCCUUGACAUCCUUGGAACUUUCUAGAGAUAGAUUGGUGCCUUCGGGAGCCAGUGACAGGUGCUGCAUGCUGUCGUCAGCUCGUGUCGUGAGAUGUUGGGUUAAGUCCCGUACGAGCGCACCCUUGUCCCUAGUUGCAGCACUUCGGGUGAACUCUAGGGAGACUGGCCGGGUGACUAC
rnacentral:rRNA from 1 species